rnacentral:rRNA from 1 species
UUGGAGGGCAAGUCUGGUGCCAGCAGCCGCGGUAAUUCCAGCUCCAAUAGCGUAUAUUAAAGUUGUUGCAGUUAAAAAGCUCGUAGUUGAAUUUCGGGGUCAAUAAGUUGGUCGUGCCAAUGGUAUGUACUGGCUUUAUUGAUUCCUACCUCUUGACGAACUGUGAUGCCAUUAAUUUGGUGUUGCAGGAAAUCAGGACUGUUACCUUGAAAAAAUUAGAGUGUUUAAAGCAGGCUUACGCUUGAAUACAUUAGCAUGGAAUAAUGAAAUAGGACGUUUGAACCUAUUUUGUUGGUUUCUAGGAUCGACGUAAUGAUUAAUAGGGAUAGUUGGGGGCAUUAGUAUUCAAUUGUCAGAGGUGAAAUUCUUGGAUUUAUUGAAGACUAACUACUGCGAAAGCAUUUGCCAAGGAUGUUUUCAUCAAUCAAGAACGAAAGUUAGGGGAUCGAAGACGAUCAGAUACCGUCGUAGUCUUAACCAUAAACUAUGCCGACUAGGGAUCGGAUGAUGUUAAUUUUUUAAUGACUCAUUCGGCGCCUUACGGGAAACCAAAGUGUUUGGGUUC